GACCUAGCCUCCUUCUCCAAGCUGACUGCAUCGACUCCCGAUCUCCUUCUCCAAGCUGACCUGCGUCGACACCCGACUUCAUUCUCCAACCUAAGCCUACUGGAGCCACCUCCAACCUGACCCCGAGUCCCCGACCUCGCUCUCUGACCCUGAGUUCCCCUGCCUCGCUCUGACCCCGAGUUCCCCUACCUCGCUCUCUGACCCCGAGUCCCCUACCUCGCUCUCUGACCCCGAGUUCCCCUACCUCGCUCUGACCCCGAGUCCCCGACCUCGCUCUCUGACCCCGAGUUCCCCUGCCUCGCUCUGACCCCGAGUUCCCCUACCUCGAGCUUGAGCUCCGAUCUGACCUCGAGCUUAUUAGCCGACCUGAGCUUGUCAUUCUCCAACGUCUAGUCUCGUAGGUC
rnacentral:lncRNA from 1 species